UCAAUCAGGUAGGAUCACCCGCUGAA
rnacentral:rRNA from 1 species